rnacentral:rRNA from 1 species
CUAAGAAUAUUCCGCAAUGGACGGAAGUCUGACGGAGCGACGCCGCGUGGAUGACGAAGGCCGAAAGGUUGUAAAGUUCUUUUGCUGGGGAAGAAUAACCGCAGGAGGGAAUGCCUGUGGGAUGACAAGAACCGGCGAAUAAGCCCCGGCCAACUACGUGCCAGCAGCCGCGGUAACACGUAGGGGGCGAGCGUUGUUCGGAAUUACUGGGCGUAAAGGGCAUGUAGGCGGCUUGGAAAGCCUGGCGUGAAAGUCUGCAGCUUAACUGCAGGGGUGCGCUUGGAACUGCUGAGCUUGAGUGACGGAGAGGGAGCUGGAAUUCCUGGUGUAGGGGUGAAAUCUGUAGAUAUCAGGAAGAACACCGAUGGCGAAGGCAAGCUCCUGGCCGAUGACUGACGCUGAGGUGCGAAAGUGUGGGGAUCAAACA